AGGGAAACGGGCAGCUCUUUGAGGCCCAGAAGCAAAAUCCCACCCAAGUCGGUGGAAGCCCGAAGUCAAUGGUGUAGAAUCACGUACCCGAGGGUCUGGAAACGGGGUUUGCUCGCACACAGGCUGAUUCCAAAGCUCGGGCACAGGACGCCCGGGGCGCUCAGGGGUUGAGCGUCUGCCUUCCGUCCAGGGCGCGACCCCGGGGUCCCGGGAUCGAGUCCCACGUCGGGCUCCCUGCGCCGAGCCUGCUUCUCCCUCUGCCUGUGUCUCUGCCUCGCUCAUGAAUAAAUAAGUAAAAUCUUAAAACAAAACAAAACAAAACAAAAAACAGAAGCUCAGGCACUGUAGUCAAGACCCAGUGUAUCUUGUUCUCUUCCCGGCUUGGCCAUUCGCCACCCCGAGGCUCCCCCUCGGCUUCUUCCUACCGGGCCUCCGGCUUCCCACCUCAUUCAAGUCCAGCACCAACAGCACAAGUCUCCCUCCCAGAAUUCCCACCGGAAGUCUCAACACCGCUCUAAAGGGCGCUAAUCAAGUGACGCGAGUAUCAAUGAACCAAUCAUUGGCGGCCUGGGAAUGUAAUGCACUGAUUGGCUGAGCCUGUGUCACAUGCUCCCCUCCGGCUUCCCACCUCAUUCAAGUCCAGCAGGAACAGCACAAGUCUCCCUCCCAGAAUUCCCACCGGAAGUCUCAACACCGCUCUAAAGGGCGCUAAUCAAGUCACGUGAGUAUCAAUGAACCAAUCAUUGGUGGCCUGGGAAUGUAACGCACUGAUUGGCUGAGCCUGUGUCACGUGCUCCCCUCUGGCUUCCCACCUCAUUCAAGUCCAGCAGGAACAGCACAAGUCUCCCUCCCAGAAUUCCCACCGGAAGUCUCACCACCACUCUAAAGGACUCUAAUGAAGUCACGUGAAUAUCAAGGAACCAAUCAUUGGCGGCCCCGGGAGUGAUUGGCUGAGCCUGUGUCACGUGCGCCGGGGCCCUCGGCCUUCUAAAAUCACGUGACUGAGAAGGGGCCGGGAAAGGGCAGGUGGCCUGGUGACCCGGGUCUGGGCGACCACGGAGCCCGAGUGGCCCCCAAGGUCCAGAGUCAGCGCCUGAGGCUCGGUGACGUGUUUCCCUCCCCCCGGGGGGCGGCCGCUCAGCGGGCCCGUCCGACUCCCCGCUCGGCUCUUCCAACAAGUCGCCAUAAAGGGGGAAGAUGGAGGCCAGCAUCAGCCUGUAAAGGGACCACCCCUCAGGGCGGAGAAGGGGAGACCCGGCCAUCGCCCUUUCCCCGGGCAGGGCGGCCCCUGGGCCCAGGAAGCCAGGAGCCGAACCCGAGGCCUGGCGGACCGCCUUGUUGGUGGGCAGCUGCAGAGGCCUUGCCAUCGCGGAGCUGGUGCCCCGGGCGUGCAUGGCGGUGGCAGAUAGAUGAGCGGUCUGCAGCUGUACGGACAGAACAGCCCUGGAGGGAAAACUGCAUUUCUUCAGGAGGCAAGCAGAGGCUCGGAGAUGAGGAAAGAAGCGUUUUUAAGGGUCUGGCACCUGUGCUUCCACCAGAUAAGGACUCGGAGUCAUCACCCUCUUCUGUGGACCUGCCUCUUACUAGGAUGAUGAGCAACCAAAUUCUCUCUGAAACUCUACCCACGGGAGUGUGA
ensembl:lncRNA